rnacentral:rRNA from 1 species
UACGUAGGGGGCAAGCGUUGUCCGGAUUAUUGGGCGUAAAGAGCGUGUAGGCGGCUUUACAGGUCCGUUGUGAAAACUCGAGGCUCAACCUCGAGACGCCGGUGGAAACCGUAAGGCUAGAGUCCGGAAGAGGAGAGUGGAAUUCCUGGUGUAGCGGUGAAAUGCGCAGAUAUCAAGGAGGAACACCCGUGGCGAAAGCGGCUCUCUGGAACGGUACUGACGCUGAGACGCGAAAGCGUGGGGAGCGAACAGG